rnacentral:rRNA from 1 species
UACGGAGGGGGCUAGCGUUAUUCGGAAUCACUGGGCGUAAAGCGCGUGUAGGCGGCUUGUAAAGUCAGGGGUGAAAUCCCAGAGCUUAACUCUGGAAUUGCCUUUGAAACUCACAAGCUAGAAUUCGGUAGAGGAUAGUGGAAUUCCUAGUGUAGAGGUGAAAUUCGUAGAUAUUAGGAGGAACACCAGUGGCGAAGGCGACUGUCUGGGCCGAUAUUGACGCUAAGACGCGAAAGCGUGGGGAGCAAACAGG